UACGAAGGGGGCUAGCGUUGCUCGGAAUCACUGGGCGUAAAGGGUGCGUAGGCGGGUCUUUAAGUCAGGGGUGAAAUCCUGGAGCUCAACUCCAGAACUGCCUUUGAUACUGAGGAUCUUGAGUAUGGGAGAGGUGAGUGGAACUGCGAGUGUAGAGGUGAAAUUCGUAGAUAUUCGCAAAGAACACCAGUGGCGAAGGCGGCUCACUGGCCCAUUACUGACGCUGAGGCACGAAAGCGUGGGGAGCAAACAGG
rnacentral:rRNA from 1 species